AGAGCGAACGCUGGCGGCAGGCCUAAUACAUGCAAGUCGAACGGACCCUUCGGGGUUAGUGGCGGACGGGUGAGUAACACGUGGGAACGUGCCCUUUGGUUCGGAACAACUCAGGGAAACUUGAGCUAAUACCGAAUGUGCCCCCAUCCUUAAACAAGAUGGGUGGGAAAGAUUUAUCGCCAUUGGAGCGGCCCGCGUCUGAUUAGCUAGUUGGUGGGUAAAGGCUCACCAAGGCGACGAUCAGUAGCUGGUCUGAGAGGAUGAUCAGCCACACUGGGACUGAGACACGGCCCAGACUCCUACGGGAGGCGGCAGUAGGGAAUCUUGCGCAAUGGGCGAAAGCCUGACGCAGCCAUGCCGCGUGAAUGAUGAAGGUCUUAGGAUUGUAAAAUUCUUUCAGCGGGACGAUAAUGACGGUACCCGCAGAAGAAGCCCCGGCUAACUUCGCGCCAGCAGCCGC
rnacentral:rRNA from 1 species